GCUGCUGCUGCUGGCGGUCUGCAUCGCUGGACUCUUCAUCUGGAGGAGGAACAAUAACGGGUUUCGCCCUGCUAACACGGGGCAGUGAACAUAGAAGAGGAUGCUGAACUCCACAACUUAUCGUCUCAGAGGACUUUACAAUCUGUACAACAAAUUGCGUUCUCUACCCUUCAUUUGGGUAAAGAAAACCACCCAAACUCAUUUAAUAAAUCUCUCUAAUGAGAGCUGCUCAUCUGAUUGGCUGCCAUA